GACGGGGCCCGCACAAGCGGUGGAGCAUGUGGUUAAUUCGAGGCAACGCGAAGAACCUUACCGGGCCUUGACAUGCAGAGAACUUUCCAGAGAUGGAUUGGUGCCUUCGGGAACUCUGACACAGGUGCUGCAUGGCUGUCGCAGCUCGUGUCGUGAGAUGUUGGGUUAAGUCCCGUAACGAGCGCAACCCUUGCCCUUAGUUACCAGCACGUUAUGGUGGGCACUCUAAGGAGACUGCCGGUGACAAACCGGAGGAAGGUGGGGAUGACAUCAAGUCAUCAUGGCCCUUACGGCCUGGGCUACACACGUGCUACAAUGGUCGGUACAAAGGGUUGCCAAGCCGCGAGGUGGAGCUAAUCCCAUAAAACCGAUCGUAGUCCGGAUCGCAGUCUGCAACUCGACUGCGUGAAGUCGGAAUCGCUAGUAAUCGUGAAUCAGAAUGUCACGGUGAAUACGUUCCCGGGCCUU
rnacentral:rRNA from 1 species